rnacentral:rRNA from 1 species
GACGUAGGGGGCCAGCGUUGUUCGGAAUUACUGGGUGUAAAGGGUUCGUAGGCGGUGCGGCAAGUCGGGAGUGAAAUCUCUGGGCUUAACCCAGAGGCUGCUUCCGAAACUGCUGUGCUUGAGUGUGGGAGAGGCGCGUGGAAUUGCAGGUGUAGCGGUGAAAUGCGUAGAUAUCUGGAGGAACACCGGUGGCGAAGGCGGCAUCCUGGACCGACACUGACGCUGAGACACGAAAGCGUGGGUAGCAAACAGG